GGGGGAAAAUUAAUAAAAUAUGAAUAAUAAAAUAAAUUUUAAAAUUAAAAAUAAUUAAUGGGGGUUAAAGUAUUUUUAAUAGAAAAAAUUUAAAAUUUUAAAGGGGAUUAGUAUUGUGAAAGAAAUUUGAAAUAAAAUGAAAAUUAAUUAAUAAAAAAGAAAAUUUAAUUUAUUGUAUCUUGUGUAUCAGAGUUUAUUAAAUAAAUUUUUUAAGUAAAAAAAUCUCGAAUUUAAAAGAGUUAAUUAAUUAUAAAAGUUAAUGUAACAUAAUUAUUUUAAAUAAUUAAUUAGAAAUGAAAUGUUAAUCGUUUUUAAAUAUAUCUAGUUAUUUUAGAAAAAAAUUAAAUUUUAAAUUUAAAUAAUUUUAUAAUUUAAUAAUAAAAAUUAUAAAAAUUUAAUUUUAAUAUAUUAAGGGAUAAGCUUUAAAUUAAAAAUUUAUAAUAAAAAUUAAAAAAAAAUAAAAUUUUUAAAAUUUAUAUUGUUUAAAAAUUAUAAUUUAUUAUAAAAAAUUUUAAUUAAAAAUAAAAUUUAAAAGAAAAAUUUAAAUUUUUAUAAAAUAAUAAUUUAUAAUAAAAUUAAAUUAGAAAUAAUGAUAAAAUUAGUAUAAAAAAAAAUUAAAUAAGUAAAUUAAAAAUUAAAAUUAAUUAAAAGGAAUUCGGCAAAAUUAAUAUUCACUUGUUUAUCAAAAACAUGUCUUUUUGAAUAUAAUUUAAAGUCUAAUCUGCCCACUGAUAAAUAUUAAAGGGCUGCAGUAUAUUGACUGUACAAAGGUAGCAUAAUCAUUAGUUUUUUAAUUGGAAACUUGUAUGAAAGAUUUGAUGAAAUAUGAACUGUCUCUUAAUUAAUAUUAGAAAUUUAUUUUUUAGUUAAAAAGCUAAAAUAAUUUUAAAAGACGAGAAGACCCUAUAGAGUUUUAUAUUUAAUGUUAUUUUAAAAAAUUAUAAAAAUUAAUAUUAAAAUAAAAUUAAAUAUUAUAUUGGGGUGAUAGAAAAAUUAAAUUAACUUUUUUUAAAAAUUUAACAUAAAUAAAUGAAUAAAUGAUCCAUUAUUAAUGAUUAUAAGAAAAAAUUACCUUAGGGAUAACAGCGUAAUAUUUUUUUUUAGUUCAAAUAAAAAAAAAAGUUUGCGACCUCGAUGUUGGAUUAAGAUAAAAAUUAAAUGCAAAAGUUUAAAAUUUUGAUCUGUUCGAUCAUUAAAAUCUUACAUGAUCUGAGUUCAAACCGGUGUAAGCCAGGUUGGUUUCUAUCUUUAGAAAAAAAAAAUAUUUUAGUACGAAAGGAUCAAAUAUUGAAAAUAAUUUUAAUAAAAAGAAUAUUAUUAAAUAAAGUAUAAAUAAAUUAU
rnacentral:rRNA from 1 species